AUCCUUCGGGAUUUGGAAGAGUGGCGAACGGGUGAGGAACACGUAAGAAUCUACCUUUCGGUUGGGGAUAACUUCUGGAAACGGGAGCUAAUACCCAAUAUGCUGUGGAGUGAAAGAAUUUCGCCGAAAGACGAUCUUGCGUCUGAUUAGCUUGUUGGGGUGGUAAUGGCACACCAAGGCGACGAUCAGUAGCUGAUCUGAGAGGAUGGACAGCCACAUUGGGACUGANACACGGCCCAGACUCCUACGGGAGGCAGCAGUGGGGAAUUUUCCGCAAUGGACGAAAGUCUGACGGAGCGACGCUGCGUGAAGGAUGAAGGCCCGUGGGUUGUAAACUUCUUUUCUCGAAGAAGAAAAAAAUGACGGUAUUCGAGGAAUAAGCAUCGGCUAACUCUGUGCCAGCAGCCGCGGUAAGACAGAGGAUGCAAGUGUUAUUCGGAAUGAUUGGGCGUAAAGAGUCUGUAGGCGGUUUAGAAAGUCUUUUGUGAAAUACUUCAGCUCAACUGAGGCUCCGCAAAAGAAACUUCUAGACUUGAGGAAAGUAGAGGUACAGGGAAUUUCCGGUGGAGCGGUGAAAUGCGUAGAUAUCGGAAGGAACACCAAUAUGGCGAAGGCACUGUACUGGGCUUUUCCUGACGCUAAGAGACGAAAGCUGAAGGAGUGAUUAGGAUUAGAUACCCUAGUAAUUUCAGCCGUAAACGAUGNAAACUCACUGUCGAGCCAAUAU
rnacentral:rRNA from 1 species